UACGGGGGGGCAAGCGGUUGUUCGGAAUUACUGGGCGUAAAGGGCUCGUAGGCGGCCAACUAAGUCAGACGUGAAAUCCCUCAGCUUAACUGGGGAACUGCGUCUGAUACUGGAUGGCUUGAGAUUGGGAGAGGGAUGCGGAAUUCCAGGUGUAGCGGUGAAAUGCGUAGAUAUCUGGAGGAACACCGGUGGCGAAGGCGGCAUCCUGGACCAACACUGACGCUGAGGAGCGAAAGCCAGGGGAGCAAACGGG
rnacentral:rRNA from 1 species